CCUACGGGUGGCAGCAGUGAGGAAUAUUGGUCAAUGGGCGUAAGCCUGAACCAGCCAAGUCGCGUGAGGGAUGAAGGUUCUAUGGAUCGUAAACCUCUUUUAUAAGGGAAUAAAGCGUGGGACGUGUCCUAUUUUGUAUGUACCUUAUGAAUAAGGAUCGGCUAACUCCGUGCCAGCAGCCGCGGUAAUACGGAGGAUCCGAGCGUUAUCCGGAUUUAUUGGGUUUAAAGGGUGCGUAGGCGGCCUUUUAAGUCAGCGGUGAAAGUCGGUGGCUCAACCAUAGAAUUGCCGUUGAAACUGGGGGGCUUGAGUACAGAUGAGGUAGGCGGAAUUCGUGGUGUAGCGGUGAAAUGCUUAGAUAUCACGAAGAACCCCGAUUGCGAAGGCAGCUUGC
rnacentral:rRNA from 1 species